rnacentral:rRNA from 1 species
AACGUAGGAGGCGAGUGUUAUCCGGAGUUACUGGGCGUAAAGCGCGUGUAGGCGGUUAGGCAAGUGAAUGGUGAAAGCCCCUGGCUAAACUAGGGGAGUGCCGUUGAGACUGCUUAGCUAGAGUGAGGUAGAGGGACAUGGAAUUCCGGGUGUAGCGGUGAAAUGUGCAGAGAUCCGGAGGAACACCAGAGGUGAAAACGGUGUCCUGGGCCUUAACUGACGCUGAGACGCGAAGGCGUGGGGAGCAAAC